rnacentral:lncRNA from 1 species
UUUCUGUUUCUUGGCCUUUGUUUGGCCAUUUUUAUAAUGAUAAGCUCUGAGGUUUUAGCUAGGGAGUUGUCUGAGACUUCCACCACUUCAGAAGAGGACUGUAAGAACCCUCUCAUUAUUUUCUCCCUAUUAUUAUCUGUAUAAUUAUUUAACCUUUCAAAUUAGUGGUUAACGUACGUGCAACUUGUAGUAAAGGUAUUAUUUCCUCUAAAGCAAGUACUUAGGUUUCGUUUGGUAAGGUGUAUAAGAAUAGUACUAAAUAUUGUGUAUCAGUAAUGCUGAGAUUAGUUAUGUUAGGAUUAUUUUUUGUGGUUGUUUGAUUUGGUAUAUUAAAGGUUUUGAAAUGACAAUUCUGUCUUUAUACAUGCUUAUCUAUGUAUUAAAGACUAUGGUAUUGCUAAUGCUAUGAUUUUUGUUAUAUAUACGAAUAAUACUGAAUAUGGUGUAUAACUAAUAUAAAUAUAAGUUAAAAAACACUACAGAGCAAGAAAUUAACAGUACUAAAGUUAAUACAUGUAUUAUUUUUCCUAAUACACCCUAUCAAACGACCCCUUAGAGUUACACGUCUGGUGUUCCUAAUGCUAGCUUGAUCAUGAAUCUUAGCAAGUUUUAUAGUAUUUCAUUUGACCUUAACAUAGCAAAUAUUAUAAAUGUGCUUGUAUCACGAAAAAUUACAUAUAAGUAAAGGAUUUAACAGUAUAAAAGAAUCUUAUGUGAUCUGAUCUGCAUUCGACCUAAUACUACAAAACAAUUUCACCAUCGACGUGUAGAAAUUAAACUUGUAAGAUUAUGGAUUACGGCAAAAUUGUGUUAAUUUUCUAGUUUAGAGUUGAAAGAGAAGGUGAAGUUGUCCCUUUGACCUAUAAAUCACGGGUUCGAACCGUAAAAGCAGCCGCGAAUACUUGCACUAGGAUAGGCUGUCUACGUCACAUCCUUGGGGUGCGACCCUUCUCCGGAUUCUGCGUGAAUGUCGAUGCCUUAUACACCGGGCUGUCCUUUGCUAGUUUAGAGUUAGUACAAGAAUAAAACAGCUAAUAAAAAUAACAUACCUUUUUUCACACAAUUGAUGCAGCAAAGAAAUCCGAUAACAAGAAUGAAGUGCAUGAAGCUCAAUAUGGUGGCGGAUACCCCGGUGGUGGCUACCCUGGCGGUGGAUACCCUGGCGGCGGAUACCCUGGUGGCGGCCGUGGUGGCGGUGGAUACCCUGGUGGCGGCCGUGGUGGAUACCCAGGUGGCGGCCGCGGUGGUGGACGUGGAGGAUACUGCCGCUAUGGUUGUUGCGGCCGCCGCAAUUACUACGGCUGCAGCAGGUGUUGCUACUACAAAGGUGAGGCCAUGGAUAAAGUGACUGAAGGGAAGCCUCAACACUGAUCAU